ensembl:lncRNA
GAAGAAGGAGAAGGCGGAACUGAUUGAUUUUAAUGCAGCUUGAAAAUUAGUGAUUCAGAGGAUCCCGAGCUGGAGGAAGAGCUUCAGGCUGCUGACGAACUCCUUCAAGAUAUGCAGAAUGAUGCACAGAGUGUCCCCAGUGUCCAGAGAUCAGCAUCAAUGUCCACGUGAAGAACCUAGUUAUGUUGCCAGUGUCAACCCAACAAAAGUGUAUGGAACUGAGGUGCUCCGUCAGGAGCUCCUUCAGUUGUUGGAGGAUGGAGAAGAGGACGCAGCCAUGACUUGUGAGAUGGCGUCUGAGUCAGCUGCUACUCACUGGGCGAUCAGAAACAUGGUGUCCUCACAAAAGUGGAAAGAGGCCAGGCCUUGUCUUACAGACAAUAUGUUAGCUGCUCUGGAUCCACAGUCACACCGUGUGUGUCAGUGUGGCAAACAAGUAGUUGUGAGGUGUCUGGACUGCCUGCCUCUUCCGUUCCUUUGUGCUGACUGUGAUAUUGCAGUUCACACACGCUUUGUCCUGCACAACAGAGAGGCAGUAACAGGAGGGUUUUUGCAGCCUUCAUCAGAGUUUCACAAGCCAAUAGUUCAGCUGUUGCCUGUGCAAAGGCCAGACCAUGUGUGUGACUGCCCAGCAGGUAACGUUGAGGUUUCACCCGGCGCAAUUGUGGCUCUUGUAACCAUAAAUGGCCGUUAUAACCUUGCACUGCCAGUGGUGAGCUGCACCAGCUGUGGCCUAAUGUGGUCCCCCUCAGUUAAGGACAUCCUGGGUAGUGGAUAUUGGCCUGGCACCUUAAAUUUCUGCACCCUGUUUUCAAUGGAUUUCUUUCAGUCUUUCUAUGACAUUAAGAAGGCUGCACCAGGGAUGUCACUUAAGGCAUUUGUCAAAAUGCUAGAUGAAAGAACAGCCCAUUUUAGAAGGACUGGCCGAAUAUCAGCUGAUGCCUUCAGUAAAAGCUUGUGGAGUGGAGUGCUGUAAAGUUUAAGGUGGACAGGAUGUGCAAGGAGCCAAGGAGCCAUGCAUUAGCUGCCCUGCCUGCACUCCAGACAUGCUUGCCGUCUCAGUUGAUGGAAACCGUAAGCUUUAUCGCUUUCAAUCUAAUGCAAGGUACGUUAUGCAUUGUGUACAUAAAUCAAAUAUGGCUUUGUAGAAAAAUGUAUUUUAAUGUUUCUUUUCAAACAACUGUCACUCUGUCCGUUCAGCACUUCAGAGCAGGCGAACUUUGAAGGUGUCUUCAUUGAAAAAGAUGAGGAAGUUGCUGAGUUUAUGAAAUACAUACAGAGACACACAAAUCGUGUAAGAGACACAUAUAUAUUAGUGCUGUCAGCGGUAAUCUUGUUAAAAUGACGUUAGCGCCAUAACCACAUACACAUACGUGUGUGUGUGUGUGUGUGUGUGUGUGUAUACAUAUAUGGAUGGGUGGAUAUUUAUUUUAUUUUUCUCUUGGUGUGGUCGUAAUACUAUUUACUUUACUUUAUCUUAAUGUGUACUUAAUUUUGUCACCAUGUGUAUUAAAAAAAAACAUGAUUUUUAUUUUGUGUUAUCAGUGCUGUCCCGGGGAGAUGAGGUCUUGUGUGACUUAAGGUCCCGGGGAAAGGGUUGUGCGGAUCUUCAUCUUGGACUGCAGCAAAGGAGUCCACUGGGAAGUUGGAUGAAGAGGGCAUGGAAAUAGCUGUUUGUCGCCACGGAGUCCUCUUAGCUGCAUUGAACAUGUUUCGAGGGGAGAUCUUUGCUUACCCCCUUUUUCUCCAGAGGAAGUUGGCAGCUAGCGUCCCAGGACAUAUUACGUUCCUUUGCUCCGAUGUGGCCUGUAAAUAUUUCCCAUAUUUAACCAAGGUGGCUCAGCAGUGCCCUGAGCUGAGGAACCUCUUGUCAAUGCGUCCUUUUCUCUCCGUCAUGCAUGCAAAGGCUCACACUUGGAAAUGCGAGAUCAAAUGGGGAGGUGCGUUUCAGGAUGGGGCCGGUUCAACAGUUGGAGAAGAGGUGGAACAAGUAAACAGUUUCCUGUCUAGGGCGGCCAUUGAAGUACAUGUCCAAAGCAGGGCGAACAGACUUGCUGACCAUCCUGGCUUCGGGGUGGAACAAAAGGAAAGUGGAACAACUGGGCCGCAGUUUGAGCCAGAGAUAUCUAAAGAUCAUAAGGAUCCUUAGAGAACAAGUGGAAAGCCUGAAUGCGACCAGAAAUGAGCUGGGUGUGGAUGACGACGCACUGCAGCAAUGGGUGGCCGAUGUGCAGAAAUGGCUGAAGAUAGUAACAAGAGGCGACACAGAAUUCGCAAGGUCAUCAUAGUUGAGAAGAAAUGCUUGGCGGCUGCUGUUGACGACUACAACAAGCUUGCUGAACCAACAAAGCAAAUCGUAUCCAGUGAUGCCCUCAUGCAGACCGACAUUUGGCCCUGGCAGAGCACAAGUGAACCUGCUGCUGACCUCCAGACAAAGAGAAAGGUCUUUGAGAAGGUGAUGGCUGUGAGGCGCCUGAGAGAGGAGGAGAUGAUCCUUUGCAGGGAGAUGCGGCAUCACUGGACAGUGUUGUGAAUGCGAUCUGUGGUGUUGGGGACAAUCUCCUCAGACUCCUCCCUUGUUGGCAUGUCAGAGGAUGCACAGAAGGGACUCCAUAGCCUGGUUUUAAAAAAACAAAGUGAACUGAAAGCUGAAAUGCUCAAAGUAAAGGAUGUGUACAAGAGAAUCCUCAGCCACCAACCACUCCUGGAAAUGGACUCAGAGGAGGAAGACAUUCCAGACGAUGCCGCUGAGAGUGAUUUGAGCACUUCUGAUGAAGACUGGUUGUGUCAUCAUUGAUGUUAUGUUUGGUAAAAUAAAAA